UGGGGAAUCUUGCGCAAUGGACGAAAGUCUGUCGCAGCGACGCCGCGUGGGUGAUGAAGGCCUUCGGGUUGUAAAGCCCUGUGGGGAGGGACGAAUAAGUCUGACCUAAUACGUCAGGUGAUGACGGUACCUCUUUAGCAAGCACCGGCUAUAUCUGUG
rnacentral:rRNA from 1 species